rnacentral:lncRNA from 1 species
CAGAGUGAGAUUCUGUCUCAAAAAAAAAAAAAGGCAAUUUGUAUUUUCCAAAAGUGAUUAAAGCAAUAUUUCUGAUGCCAUAAUCUCUUCCAGAAACUUGGCACCCUUCCAUCGAGAGACAGAGCUACUUCUCCUCCUUUUGAACCUAAGCAGGCCUUUGUGACUGGCUCAGUGAAUGGAAUAUUGCAGAAGGAAGGCUGUGUGACUUCUGAGUCUAGGUCAUAAACAAUGAUAGAGCUUCCAUCUGAGCCUUUUCUCGCUUGGGACAUUCACCCUUGAAAUCCAGCUACCAUGUUGUAAGGCAGCCCAAGCUACAUGGGGAGGCCACAUGGUAGAUGUUCUGGCCAAUGGCCUCAAUUGAGUUACCAACCAGCAGCCCACAUCAACCAGCAGACACAUGAAUGAGUGAGCGCUCUGAUGAUCUCUGCCUACAACCUUUGAGCCAUCCCAGCUGUUGCUGAGUGGAGCAGAGAGAAACAGUCUUCACCAAGCCCUGCCCAGGUUGUACAUCUAUGAGCAAAAUGCUAUUGUUGCUAUUUGAAGCCACUAAGUUUUAAGGCAGCUUGCCACAAAGAUAAGGAUACCUGGAACACUAUGUGUCAAGUCACUGGGCAGAGACAUCAUCUAAUUUAAUCUUUAAAACAGCUGCUUUGGAAGAUAUCCCUGCUUUAUAGAUGCAGAAUUAGGACUUGAAGGACCAAGAUCACAUUGCAAAUAGGGAAGAAGAGAACAAAUCAGUUGGAAGAAACAGAAUGAGCAAAGUCAAGAAGACGUAAAAGCAAGGUGCAUCUGACUUUACAAUUCAAUAGAAUAAAAAACACAACAAUGACGAAAAUGGUGUAAAAUCUGUUCAUUAUAAAGUGACUACCUUCACCCAGAAGAAGUCCCUCCAGUAAGGGUUCACAGGGGGGAUAAUGUUUGAGUCUUGAAGACCAUGUCAAAUGCCAAUCAUCUAGAAGGACGUUAUUAUUAAUAUUACUAUGUUGGUGGCCAUAACUAUUAGCAUUAUUUGUGUAUGUGCUGAUAUGGUUUGGCUCUGUGUCCCCACCCAAAUCUCAUCUCCAAUUGUAAUCCCCACAGUGAGGUGGGGAUUACGGAGGGACGUGUAAUCCUCAGGUGUGGAGGGAGGGAAGCGAUUGGAUCAUGGGGGUGGUUUCCCCGAUGCUGUUCUCGUGAUAGUGAGUUCUCACGAGAGCUGAUGGUUUUAAAGUCUGGCACUUCCUCCUUCUCACACUCACUCUCUCCUGCCACCUUGUGAAGAAGGUGCUUGCUUCCCCUUCGCCUUCCACCACGAUUGUAAGAUUCCUGAGGCCUCCCCAGCCAGGUGGAACUGUGAGUCUAUUAAACCUCUUUCCUUCAUAAAUUACCCAGUCUUGGGUAUUUCUUUAUAGCAGUGCGAAAGUGGACUAAUAUAUGUGCAUUGGUGAGAGUCAAUAGUUGUAUGUGACAGAAUCCCAACUCAAACUAGCUUUAAGAGAAAAAUGAGAUUCACUGAUUUACGUAUGUGGAAAGGAAAACGUGGUUACAUAGAUUCUAACAAUAUUGGCUGGUCUCAACUCAGCCCUCUUUAACUCUCUUCUGCCUUGCCUCUCAAUGCAUUGGUCUCAUUCUAAAGCUAUUUAGCUGGGUUUUCCUGGCUACAGCAUAGCUCCAGGCAGCUUCAGGUGAGUGACAUCAAUCACCUCAGCACCCCAAAGCUAAAAAGAAAAGCCUUUUGCCUCCAGCAUUGAGGGACAUAAUGCCUAGAAAUGAUCCUAUUGGUUAGGUUGGGGUUUUAUGGUUCUCCCUGAGCUAAUCACUGAGGCCAGGACAUGGGAAUCUGUGAUUGGCCAACUCUGGGUCACAUGGCCCACCAUCACCCAUAACAGCCAACCAGUAAAAUUGCUUCUCUCAUAAAGCUGAUGUGACCAUUAAAUGAGUUAAUAUUUGUGAAUGCUCAGAAAAGUGCUUGGCAAAUAUUAAAUAUUAAACCUUCAACAAAUGUUAGUCAUCAGUUUACCUCUUUUCAUUCCCUCAAGACAUCCAAGCUCCUCUCCUUGACUGCUGAGACCAGAGCUCAUGUACCCCUUUUAUUAACAAAACAGCCACUUUCAGGCACCAUCAUAUUUGAUGCCUCAUAAGAAUACUGUGAAUAUGGCUGGGCACAGUGGCUUAUGCCUGUAACCCCAGCACUUUAGGAGGUCAAGGUGGGUGGAUCACUUGAGGCCAGGAGUUCGAGACCAGCCUGGCCAUCCUGGUGAAACUGCGCGUGGUGGUAUGUGCCUGUAUUCCUAGCUACUUGGAAGGCUGAGGUGGGAGGGUUGCUUGAACCUGGGAGGCAGAGGUAGCAGUGAACCAAGAUCAUGCCACUGCACUCCAGCCUGGGCGAGAGAAUGAGACUCUGUCUCAAAAAAAAAAAAUGCUGUGAAUAGUUGUAUAUUUUCGUUCUCAUUUUAGAAAAGAGAAAAUUGUGAGGCUCAGCAUCUGCCUUAGUCCAAGAGCAGUGGCUGCAUGUCAAUAAGUAGCUUUAGAAAGAAUGCCUUUGACAGACGGGAAACAGAGUCCCAGAGAGCAAAGGGACCUCUUCACAUUGUGUCAGUAACAGAGCCUGGUUUCAACUCGACUCUCCCAAACUCUCUCCGCCUCUCUUCUAAGUGCACUGGCCUCAUUCUCGUGCUAUUUCUCAGUCCUGGCCUCAUGUUAUUCCCUUGAUAUGAAGCUUUAGUUCACUGGCUGCCUCUUCAAUGCCAGCGCCUGGGCUGAGCCCUUUUCUUGCAUUACUUAUCGCAUCCCUGUUUUCACAUGGCCCUCUGAGAGGUCAAGUGACUUCCUCAAGGUCAUACAGCAAGAAAGUGGCAGAGGCAGGAUUAAGAUUAGGACUAUCAGACCCUGGAAUCCAUACUUGAGAUCUCUGUACCAAACUGUCUUUGGCUCAGAUUAAGUUUACUGAAGGAUUUCCGGGAUGUUGCUUUGUGCCAGAUCAGGAAGACGUAUGGGGCAGUAGAAAGGGUGUACACUUAAGGACCAGCGAGAAUUGGAAUGGAACUCUAGCUUUGCAACUAGUAAGCCGCUUGACCUUGGAGGGGUUAACUUCUCUGAGCCCUGGUUUCUUCUCUCUGACAUGGGGAUAACUCUUGCGUUGCAAGGCUUGGAUUGAUAGUGUAUGUAACGCUCGGUGAAGAGUCUCAGUAAAUAUUUAGAUAAUGACCAUUCCAUUGCUAGUCUUAUUGUUACCUAAAGAGUGUGAGUUUAACUACAACUGGCCGCUGCCAAGGGACUAACCAUCUAAGCAAUGAAAGAGCAUUGUCACCAGGGGGCAGCAGAGCUCCAGCAGAAUCUGCAGGGCCUCACUACGCCCACCUCAAUUCUGGUCAUGACCUUUGGGGGACCUCAAAAGUCUAAUCAGCCUGGCUUUUGUGUGGUUUGAUCAUAGAAGGAAAUUGCAGGCGCCUCUUACUUU